AUAUACCGUGGAUCGUGUCGCUGGCGUAAGUCAGAGGAAAGUCCGGACAACUCAGGGCACCGCGCUUCCUAACAGGAAGGAUUCCCGCUUGCGGGAAGACAGCAAGUGCAGCAGAAAGUAAACCGCCCCGACUUGUCGGGGUAAGGGUGAAAGGGAGGUGUAAGAGACCACCGGUGUUGGUGGCAACAUCAGCAGCCAGGUAAACCUCGCGGGUUGAAAUGUCACGUAUACCGACGCUCCCGAUUUAUCGGGAUAAGGGCGGCCCGUCCAAUGUCGGGGGGUAGGCAGAUGGAGCCAAUGGGUGACUGUUGGCCUAGAUAAAUGACACGAGUCGCUUCGGCGAUAACAGAAUCCGGCUUAUGAGCGGUAUGCUACA
rnacentral:RNase_P_RNA from 1 species